GGCAGCCGCCGCGGUAACACCGGCAGCUCUAGUGGUAGCAAUUUUAUUGGGCCUAAAGCGUCCGUAGCCGGUUUAAUAAGUCUCUGGUGAAAUCCUGCAGCUUAACUGUGGGAAUUGCUGGAGAUACUAUUAGACUUGAGACCGGGAGAGGUUAGAGGUACUCCCAGGGUAGAGGUGAAAUUCUGUAAUCCUGGGAGGACCGCCUGUUGCGAAGGCGUCUAACUGGAACGGUUCUGACGGUGAGGGACGAAAGUUAGGGGCGCGAACCGGAUUAGAUACCCGGGUAGUCCUAACUGUAAACGAUGCGGACUUGGUGUUGGGGUGGCUUUGAGCUGCUUCAGUGCCGAAGGGAAGCUGUUAAGUCCGCCGCCUGGGAAGUACGGUCGCAAGACUGAAACUUAAGGAAUUGGCGGGGGAGCACCACAACGCGUGGAGCCUGCCGGUUUAAUUGGAUUCAACGCCGGACAUCUCACCAGAGGCGACAGCUGUAUGAUAGCCAGGUUGAUGACUUUGCUUGACUAGCUGAGUGGAGGUGCAUGG
rnacentral:rRNA from 1 species